UCGAACGGCAGCACGGGGGCAACCCUGGUGGCGAGUGGCGAACGGGUGAGUAAUAUAUCGGAACGUGCCCAGGUCGUGGGGGAUAACGUAGCGAAAGUUACGCUAAUACCGCAUACGAUCUACGGAUGAAAGCGGGGGAUCGCAAGACCUCGCGCGAUUGGAGCGGCCGAUAUCGGAUUAGGUAGUUGGUGGGGUAAAGGCUCACCAAGCCAACGAUCUAUAGCUGGUCUGAGAGAACGACCAGCCACACUGGAACUGAGACACGGUCCAGACUCC
rnacentral:rRNA from 1 species